GACGAACGCUGGCGGCGUGCUUAACACAUGCAAGUCGAACGAAGUGGCGCACGGGUGAGUAAUACGUGAGUAACCUGCCCUCCUUUUUGGGAUAAGCCUUGGAAAAGGGUACUAAACCCGACUACAGGGGGAUGGGCUAGCGGCCUAUCAGCUGGUUGGUGGGGUGAGGGCCUACCAAGGCGGUGACGGGUAGCCGGCCUGAGAGGGUGACCGGCAAAAUUGGGACCGAGAGACGGCCCUGACGCCUACAGGAGGCAGCAGUGGGGGAUAUUGCACAAUGGGCGAAUGCAGGGAGCAGCGACGUCGCGUGGGGGAUGAAGGCUUGUGGGAUGCAAACGUCUUUCAGUAUGGAAAGGGUAGGUGGAGAAGAAGCGCCGGCUAACUACGUGCCAGCAGCCGCGGUAAUAC
rnacentral:rRNA from 1 species